UACGUAGGGGGCUAGCGUUGUCCGGAUUUAUUGGGCGUAAAGAGCGUGUAGGCGGCCAUGUAGGUCCGGUGUGAAAACUCGAGGCUUAACCUCGAGAUGUCAUCGGAAACCAUUUGGCUAGAGUCCGGAAGAGGAGAGUGGAAUUCCUGGUGUAGCGGUGAAAUGCGCAGAUAUCAGGAAGAACACCGAUGGCGAAAGCAGCUCUCUGGGACGGUACUGACGCUGAGACGCGAAAGCGUGGGGAGCGAACAGG
rnacentral:rRNA from 1 species